AUUGAACGCUGGCGGAAUGCUUUACACAUGCAAGUCGAGCGGCAGCGCGGGGCAACCUGGCGGCGAGCGGCGAACGGGUGAGUAAUGUAUCGGAACGUACCCAGUCGUGGGGGAUAACUAUCCGAAAGGAUAGCUAAUACCGCAUACGUCCUGAGGGAGAAAGCGGGGGAUCGCAAGACCUCGCGCGAUUGGAGCGGCCGAUAUCGGAUUAGCUAGUUGGUGAGGUAAAGGCUCACCAAGGCGACGAUCCGUAGCUGGUCUGAGAGGACGACCAGCCACACUGGAACUGAGACACGGUCCAGACUCCUACGGGAGGCAGCAGUGGGGAAUUUUGGACAAUGGGGGCAACCCUGAUCCAGCCAUUCCGCGUGAGUGAAGAAGGCCU
rnacentral:rRNA from 1 species